CUCCCGGUCGUCCGCUCCGACGCCGGCGGCGACGGCGACGUCACCGCGUACGACGAGCUCCGGCACCGCGGGUUCCCGCUGGGCUUGCUGCCGGCGAACGUGCGCGGGUACACGCUGGACUCCGGGUCGGGGGACUUCGCCGUGGACCUCGCCUCCAGCUGCCGGAUCGUGCUCCCCGCGGGGAGCUACCUCGCCUCCUUCAGCGACCGCCUCACGGGCCGGCUCGACGACCGCCGCAUCUCCGGCCUCAGCGGCAUCCGCGUCAGGGCCUUCUUCCGGUGGUGGUCCAUCACCGGGAUCCGCGCCGACGGCGACGAGCUCGUCUUCGAGGUCGGCUC
rnacentral:lncRNA from 1 species